rnacentral:rRNA from 1 species
GAUGAACGCUGGCGGCGUGCCUAAUACAUGCAAGUCGAGCGAACGGACGAGAAGCUUGCUUUUCUGAUGUUAGCGGCGGACGGGUGAGUAACACGUGGAUAACCUACCUAUAAGACUGGGAUAACUUCGGGAAACCGGAGCUAAUACCGGAUAAUAUUUUGAACCGCAUGGUUCAAAAGUGAAAGACGGUCUUGCUGUCACUUAUAGAUGGAUCCGCGCUGCAUUAGCUAGUUGGUAAGGUAACGGCUUACCAAGGCAACGAUGCAUAGCCGACCUGAGAGGGUGAUCGGCCACACUGGAACUGAGACACGGUCCAGACUCCUACGGGAGGCAGCAGUAGGGAAUCUUCCGCAAUGAGCGAAAGACUGACGGAGCAACGCCGCGUGAGUGAUGAAGGUCUUCGGAUCGUAAAACUCUGUUAUUAGGGAAGAACAUAUGUGUAAGUAACUGUGCACAUCUUGACGGUACCUAAUCAGAAAGCCACGGCUAACUACGUG